rnacentral:rRNA from 1 species
UAACGCGUGAGGAACCUGCCUCAAAGAGGGGGACAACAGUUGGAAACGACUGCUAAUACCGCAUAAGCCCACAGCUCGGCAUCGAGCAGAGGGAAAAGGAGUGAUCCGCUUUGAGAUGGCCUCGCGUCCGAUUAGCUAGUUGGCGAGGUAAUGGCCCACCAAGGCGACGAUCGGUAGCCGGACUGAGAGGUUGAACGGCCACAUUGGGACUGAGACACGGCCCAG